rnacentral:rRNA from 1 species
UACGUAGGGUGCAAGCGUUGUCCGGAAUUAUUGGGCGUAAAGAGCUCGUAGGCGGUUUGUCGCGUCUGCUGUGAAAACUCGGGGCUUAACUCCGGGCCUGCAGUGGGUACGGGCAGACUAGAGUGCGGUAGGGGAGACUGGAAUUCCUGGUGUAGCGGUGAAAUGCGCAGAUAUCAGGAGGAACACCAGUGGCGAAGGCGAGUCCCUGGACACUUCCUGACACUGAGGCACGAAAGCUAGGGGAGCAAACAGG